CCGCGUGAGGGAUGACGGCCUAUGGGUUGUAAACCUCUUUUUUCAGGGAGGAAUCAAUGACGUGUACCUGAAGAAUAAGCAUCGGCUAACUCCGUGCCAGCAGCCGCGGUAAGACGGAGGAUGCAAGUGUUAUCCGGAAUCACUGGGCGUAAAGCGUCUGUAGGUGGUCAAAUAAGUCAACUGUUAAAUCUUGAGGCUCAACCUCAAAACCGCAGUCGAAACUAUUAGACUAGAGUAUAGUAGGGGUAAAGGGAAUUUCCAGUGGAGCGGUGAAAUGCGUACAGAUUGGAAGGAACACCGAUGGCGAANGCACUUUACUGGGCUAUCACUAACACUCAGAGACGAAAGCUAGGGUAGCA
rnacentral:rRNA from 1 species